ACUUGCAUUGUGAGAUUUCUUUCCGGUGUCAGCUACACUUAGGUGCUUGAUGGACUGAUGAGGAGUCUUGAACAAUAAAAGGGUGAGUGAGUCGGCUCCGUGGUUCUGAGUCCUUCCUGCAGCGUGUUUCACUGCCUGAGUGAAACAGCAAAGCUUAAGCCAAAGGCACUCUAGAAGGCAGCUGAAGCAACAUAUUGGCGAGAAGGUCGUCGCCUACGAACGCCAAAGGACGAUCAUGCUCGACUUGCCUUGGGCACUUCAGCUGUCACAGACUGUCCGUGUUGGACAGCUCGUCCUGACGGAGGGCUCUUAGCCAAGGUCAAAAGGAGCCAAGAGAAAAUGCCAUCCUGGAUGUGCUAGAUGUUCUUCAACUUUAACACAAAGUGAAAGUGAUUUAUAUUCAAGUAUAUUCUCAGUUACACAGGAUAAAAUUAAAAGUGAUGUGUAUAUUUUUUUCUUCUUUGUCACAAAGGCAGAUGAAUUAUUUAUAUUCGCCGAGGCCUUUAACCACAAACGGAGCAGCUAUAAAUGUGACCCAAGGGAUGGGUUAAUAAACUGAAAUGGAAACAGUCUCUUAAAGUAAUAUUAAAUGAUAAAUUAUGCCUACCUUUUCAGACAAGGCCCCUCUUUGCCCUCUGGGGGACACUGUUACUCAGAAAAAUAACAUGCAGCUGUGUUUAUAAUUCCUACCUCAGUCAGUUUUGGUUGGACAUUAGGAGACGUCCUGUCCCAUAGUCUUUUGUUUAAGCUCAAAUUGUAACCUGGCUGGGUUAACUGGUAUGGAGCGCGGAGCUUCAGGGCAGGAGCGUUAGCAGGAAUUUAAAGGAGUUGCAUGUCCCAGUUCCGCAGCUGGAUGUGGGUUUGUGGCUACAUGUCAUUUAAUAAGGCUUCAGGUAUUAUUUUCCCAGGUUUUCGCUUAUAGAAUGAUGUGCAAUCCAUCAUGCUCAAGACACAGUAGUCCUCCAUGGACGCUCUUUUCUGUAGUAACUGCAGCAGGUCGUUUGAUGUUUUCUUUUUGAAAUAAAACAAAAAUUAAACAGCAAUUUAAGCAUAACAAUAGAAAUAAAUUAUCUUCAAUAUCAUUUGAACUUUUAGUCAGAGUGAGAUUUUGAGUUUCUUAUCGAUAAUUUAGACAUCAUAUGACCUUGUUAAAUGUGCAGAAUUAGUUGUCUGUUAAUGCAGUUAUGCUGCUUCUACUGGAGCUUGUGGAAAGAGCUUGAUGCAGGUUGGUAAUGACAGAUAAUGCACCGUAAGUACUGGACAUCUAGAUCUGGCUCGGCCUUUUUCUAGUCUACAUCCUGAUUUAGUUUUUUCCUCUUUAUCAGAUACUCCUGUCGCCACAGACAGACUGCCAGGGUAAAAAAAAAAAACAUCCACAAGAGAACCAGUUAGUGACUUUGUGUUUUUUUUUUUUUUAAAGAAGAUAUAUCUAUUCAGUUUAGAUUUAAAUUAAAGUUAAUGGAUAUUUAUUACCUCUUUAUUAUCUUAUUUUAGCUAUAAACUUUUUUAUGCUAUUUUCUUUUUUGUUGAAGCCAUCAAUAAUCUUGUCAAGUGCCACUGACAUUAUUUUUGAUUUUAGGUGUGAAACUGCAUCCUUUACAAGUUACCAGAAGUAAAACGUAUUUAUUCAU